rnacentral:misc_RNA from 1 species
AUAUGAUUCAAAGAGGGAUCUCUCCAGGAGUCCUAGUCGUGGGCGGUCAUACUCUAGAGGGAGGAGUUACAGUCGCAGCCGUAGUAGGGGCCGUAGUAGGAGCAAGAGCCGCAGUAGGAGCAAAUCUCCAAAAGCUAAAUCUUCCCAGCGGUCCCCUGUUAAAUCUCGAUCAAGGUCUGCUUCCCCCGCACGCUCAAGAUCAAAGUCAUCAUCUCUCUCAGGAUAUGGAAAUAUGCGGCAUACUGGGGAUUGGAUAUUAGGAUCUUGAUGGGAUAUGAUUCAAUUGCCUUCAAUGCUUUUGGUUGAGAAGAUUGGGAUCAAAGGAGAUCAUGGAUUGCAAUAAUAGAGCUGGAUAUCUUGAACUAAGUGCUAUUUGGACUUGGAAGUCAUCAUCACUUUCAUUUACAUUUUCUGCUGCAAGAUUUGCCAAGCUAUAGGACGCACUAUCUGGAUUCAUUGUGGACUUUUUUGAGGCACAGUAGGGAAGAAUGCUCCUCUCCCGUCCACUGGUGUCUAAUAUAUAGUUUCCUGGAGAUUAACUUUUCUAAUUUUAGGUCUUCGCG